rnacentral:rRNA from 1 species
GAUGAACGCUGGCGGCGUGCCUAAUACAUGCAAGUCGAGCGAACAGACGAGGAGCUUGCUCCUCUGACGUUAGCGGCGGACGGGUGAGUAACACGUGGAUAACCUACCUAUAAGACUGGGAUAACUUCGGGAAACCGGAGCUAAUACCGGAUAAUAUAUUGAACCGCAUGGUUCAAUAGUGAAAGACGGUUUUGCUGUCACUUAUAGAUGGAUCCGCGCCGCAUUAGCUAGUUGGUAAGGUAACGGCUUACCAAGGCAACGAUACGUAGCCGACCUGAGAGGGUGAUCGGCCACACUGGAACUGAGACACGGUCCAGACUCCUACGGGAGGCAGCAGUAGGGAAUCUUCCGCAAUGGGCGAAAGCCUGACGGAGCAACGCCGCGUGAGUGAUGAAGGUCUUCGGAUCGUAAAACUCUGUUAUUAGGGAAGAACAAAUGUGUAAGUAACUAUGCACGUCUUGACGGUACCUAAUCAGAAAGCCACGGCUAACUACG